UACAGAGGGGGCGAGCGUUAUUCGGAAUUAUUGGGCGUAAAGGGCGCGUAGGCGGCUUUUCAAGUGACGGGUGAAAGCCCUCGGCUUAACCGAGGAACUGCCUGUCAGACUGGAAGGCUUGAGACCGGGAGAGGUGAGUGGAAUUCCCAGUGUAGCGGUGAAAUGCGUAGAUAUUGGGAGGAACACCAGUGGCGAAAGCGGCUUCCUGGUCCAGCACCGACGUUCAGGCACGAAAGCGUGGGGAGCAAACAGG
rnacentral:rRNA from 1 species